rnacentral:rRNA from 1 species
AUGGCUCAGGAUGAACGCUAGCGGCAGGCUUAACACAUGCAAGUCGAGGGGCAGCGCGGGGUAGCAAUACUCUGGCGGCGACCGGCGAAAGGGUGAGUAACGCGUGAGCAACAUGCCCGAUAGAGGGGGAUAGUCAUUGGAAACGAUGCGUAAUACCCCGUAACAUUCGGAACCGCAUGAUUCUGAAUUGAAAGAUUUAUUGCUAUCGGAUUGGCUCGCGUACCAUUAGCUAGUUGGCGGGGUAACGGCCCACCAAGGCGACGAUGGUUAGGGGUUCUGAGAGGAAGGUCCCCCACAUUGGAACUGAGACACGGUCCAGACUCCUACGGGAGGCAGCAGUGAGGAAUAUUGGACAAUGGCCGAGAGGCUGAUCCAGCCAUGCCGCCGUGCGGGAGGACGGCCCUAUGGGUUGUAAACCGCUUUUGUUGGGGAGCAAUAAGUCUUACGUGUAAGAUGAUGAGAGUACCCAGCGAAUAAGCAUCGGCUAACUCCGUGCCAGCCGCCGC